rnacentral:sRNA from 1 species
UGCGCGAAAGGGGCUUCGGCCCUGAGUAGAGCGGCUUUCGCGUGAGUAACGCGUGGGUGACCUACCCUCGAGUGGGGGAUAACAAUCCGAAAGGAUUGCUAAUACCGCAUGACAUCCUGUCCUUGGACGGAUGGAGAUCAAAGCCGGGGAUCGCAAGACCUGGCGCUUGAGGAGGGGCCCGCGUUCGAUUAGCUAGUUGGUGGGGUAACGGCUCGCCAAGGCGACGAUCGAUAGCCGGCCUGAGAGGGCGGACGGCCUCACUGGGACUGAGACAUGGCCCAGACUCCUACGGGAGGCAGCAGUGGG